AACCACCUGCUCUUCUCCUGUGGGGGGGUGUGAGACAGCAAGGGUGAGCUCACACAUGAUCAUAGCUCAACAAGUUGUGGGGAUCCAGUGGACAUAAACUCAGAAAGGUGUGAGUUCAUGUGAUGUGUAAGGCUAAUCAAUGAUAUGGGUUAAAGCUGAGCAUUGCUUUUAAGUAGUUGGUCAUAAUUUUAUUAGCAAUUACUAAGUGUAAGUAAAUACCAAACCUUAAUAAAUAAUAGAACAAAAUUAAUAACAGACCCAUGCAAUGCAAAUGACAAAAUUGAAUUUAAGUUCCAUAAUUUAAACAUCAGAGAGUCCUGAGCUGCUCAUGACCGCGAGCUCGGCUAGUAUACCAGUUUUACACUCUGUAGAGGUUGUACCCUUUACCCACAAGUCAUGUUACCCAUCUGCCAAGGGGUCGCGAAUCCCAUACACCUCUACCUAGGAAGCGCGGCAGGGCAACACUACGAGGCCUUUACAAAGUUCCACUAGCUUCCGAAAACCCGCUACAGUUUAUAGGAAGUUCCAAUGCAGGGUUCUCGGCUGACUGCCAUCGCAGCAAAAUCAACCAAGGACCUCCCUACACUGACCACUCCCCUACUGCCCUUGCCCCUUUCGGGUAAGGUAGUCUUCCACUAGCUUUCCUAAUUAGUCAGCCAAGGGCGUCCCAUUAAACCCUUGUGGUGGCACGUGGUUCUCAAGUUAAGCUCUAUGUUCCAAUUAACAUUAAUGAUCUCAACAUGAACAUAAAUAGAAUAACAAAAAGAAUUGGAACAUAGAGGUAAUAAAUGAUUAUCCCAAAACCAUAUAAAGCAAUAGCAAACUACCCAAGUGAUUCAGGGGUAAACAAGGUAAUGAGAUAAACAAUCUAGGGUGACCUAUUGGGUCCCAUCAAAAUUAACCUAUGCAUGGAUAAAUGAUAUUAAAGAACAUUAUUGGGUAAAAAGUGGUCAAGGGCACAACUUGCCUUCAAUGAGCUCCUGCUCAGCUACUUCAACCUGCUGCUCACCAGGAUCCUCAGCAACGGGCUCUUCUACUCGCCACAAUACAAACAAGCACAGUGUAUAUAGAGAAAUUAACAUUACACCAAACAUAUAAAUAAAAUACACAGAAAUAUUCUACAUAUUAAAAUAAAAUUCUAGGAACAGGAAUCAUAAUUUUUGGAGUUAUAGAAUUUAAGUUAUGGAUUUUCAAAGGUUUUAUGUGUUUAAAAUAGGAUUAAGUGUGGGAUUAAUUUUCUUACUGUUGUCAUGAUAAAACAGAGACACUAAGUGUUAGAGAAUAAAAUUACUAAAUUUUAGGAACUGGAAUGGAUUGAUUUGGAGUUAGUAUGAAUUUUCUAUGAAUUUAUUAAGUUCUAGUAGUUAUUUUCAUAAUAAAAAUCCAUUUUCUAUUUCAUUUAUUGCAUUUAAAUAGUCCCUGGACUGGGCCUCAAUUCUCAGAAAGCUCAAGGGUCUCUGCGCGAAUAAACCUAAGACUUAGAGCACAGUAGAGAGGGACGGCGGGUUAAUUUGACUCUCUUCGAGGGUCUCUUUAGCAAAGUCUAUCGACGAAGGGGUAUCGGACGGGCUGAGCCGUCCGAUCGGAUAUCAAGAGUCCAGAUUAGAUCGAAGGGGGGUACGGGACAGUGACCGUGAGAUCACAGAUCGACGGAAGAGGUUUUAAAGAGGUAAGGAGGGUUCUGGACCGCCCGAUUAGAGAUUCACGGCCCAGAUCGGCCCCGGCCGAAGGGGUAUCCUAUUUCUAAUCGUAGCCGUCCAUGCGAUGAUCAACGGUCGCGGAAGCAUCGUCUCCUACCCAGCCCGAGCCACCCAACUGGCCUCAGCGCACGGCGGCGGAGUCACCGGAGUCCAUGAAUCCGACCAACCCGAGCGCCAGACUCAAAUUCGUUCGGCCCUCGCGAAAUUGACGACGCCCAGAGCCUGAUUCACCCAUCAAUUGCUACUGCCAUCCAUCGUAGGACCUGGCCCACAGUGCACCGCGCCAGCAUCACCCGCUACCCCGAAUUGACACACGAGCCAUGGCUAAUUGAGUGCAAUACGACUGACAAACCAAGGAAUUAACGGUGUUUCUCAUACCUAAUUGCGCAGCAGAGGUUCUCCGGCCCCGGUGGAUAGUUGGAGGUCGAGAUUCCGCGACAACGACGAGGAACUUCAGAGAGCCGCAACCCAAUUUGUGUGUGCAGGGGUCUUGGUUUGCUUCCUGUCGUACCGAAGACUCCAAUCCGCGACAAACCGAACCCACACGAUGUGAGUGCGGUGACGGUGCCGCUCGCAAGCUCUCAAUCUCUCUC
rnacentral:lncRNA from 1 species